rnacentral:rRNA from 1 species
AUUGCACGCUGGCGGCAGGCUUAACACAUGCAAGUCGAGCGAGCGGCGGACGGGUGAGUAAUGUUUGGGAAACUGCCGGAUGGAGGGGGAUAACUACUUGAAACGGUAGCUAAUACCGCAUACCAUCAGAUGUGCCCAGAUGGGAUUAGCUAGUAGGUGGGGUAAUGGCUCACCUAGGCGACGAUCCCUAGCUGGUCUGAGCGGCUGAGCAGCCACACUGGAACUGAGACCCGAGCCAGACGCCUACGGGAGGCAGCAGUGGGGAAUAUUGCACAAUGGGCGCAAGCCUGAUGCAGCCAUGCCGCGUGUGUGAAAAAGGCAUUCGGGUUGUAAAGCACUUUCAGCGGGGAGGCGUUACUCGCAGAAGAAGCACCGGCUAAUUCCGUGCCAGCCGCCGCGGUAAUAC